GACGAACGCUGGCGGCAUGCCUAAUACAUGCAAGUCGAACGAAGUUAUGAUAGAGCUUGCUCUUGAAUAGCUUAGUGGCGGACGGGGGGAGUAACACGUAGGCAACCUGCCUGUAAGCCGGGGAUAACUCACGGAAACGUGAGCUAAGACCGGAUAGUCGAGAGGAAGGCAUCUUCUUCUUGGGAAAGACGGAGCAAUCUGUCGCUUACAGAUGGGCCUGCGGCGCAUUAGCUAGUUGGUGAGGUAACGGCUCACCAAGGCGACGAUGCGUAGCCGACCUGAGAGGGUGAACGGCCACACUGGGACUGAGACACGGCCCAGACUCCUACGGGAGGCAGCAGUAGGGAAUCUUCGGCAAUGGACGCAAGUCUGACCGAGCAAUGCCGCGUGAGUGAGGAAGGCCCUCGGGUCGUAAAGCUCUGUUACCAGGGAAGAACGCUUGGGAGAGUAACUGCUCUCAAGGUGACGGUACCUGAGAAGAAAGCCCCGGCUAA
rnacentral:rRNA from 1 species